rnacentral:rRNA from 1 species
UACGUAGGGGGCAAGCGUUGUCCGGAUUUCUUGGGCGUAAAGCGCGUGUAGGUGGCCAUGUAGGUCCGCUGUGAAAACUUGAGGCUCAACCUCAAGCUGUCGGUGGAAACCACAUGGCUAGAGUCCGGAAGAGGAGAGUGGAAUUCCUGGUGUAGCGGUGAAAUGCGCAGAUAUCAGGAAGAACACCAAUGGCGAAGGCAGCUCUCUGGGACGGUACUGACACUGAGACGCGAAAGCGUGGGGAGCGAACAGG